AUUAGAGGCUCAGCAAGAACCUAAGAGGCGAGGGACACUGGUCCCCUUCAAUGGCUUAACAAGAGAGGCCAGAACCGCGUUGGCACCUCAGCAAGGCGGGAGAGGCCUCCCACAGAGUGCUGGGGUCAGAGACGGACUUGGAUCCUCGGCCAUAGGGAGACCUGGGACAUACAAGGAAUGCCGGGCCAGGAGGUCCAGAGCUGCGGGCUGGAGAGGACCCUGCUGGUGAGGCAGUGGGUUGGAAGCAGUCUCUGAGAGGUGGGGGCUGGCCAGGGACCCACGGAGUGGCUGGCCUCUCCCAGGAAGGGGCUACGUGCAGAAUAGCGUGCCCGGCUCGCAUCUCUUACAAGAUGUCCCGGGCAUGGAAGUGCCCAUGGGGGUGAGACUAAACUUUGCCCUAUAUUCAUUUUUUUUCCUUCUGACUCGGAAUACAUGGUGCAAAAAGCAUGCUCUGUGUCAGCAGCCAAGGCGAGUCAUGUGGGACGUGCGAGCCUCAUCCAUCACAUUCUGCGUUUGGAUCCACUGUUCCGUCUAAGGCUUGAAAUGACAGAGCCGCCACCAGAUGUGAAAUCUGCCUUCGCUCUGUUUGCUGUUUCAUUUCAUCCUUGAUUUCCUGUCACUUUUCGGGGUAUUGAACACAUUAUUGAAAGGCUGACUUGACGUCUCCGGCCCUCCUUCAACUCUCUUCGAUUUUUCCUGCCAAAUAUUUUAACAGAGUUACUGCAACUGAAAACAGGGUGUAAAAAGGUUUGCGUUCGUUUAUUGGGGGAAAAAAAUCAGUAAAAUCUUACUGGCAUGUCUGUGGAACUGUUUGAGUCAGAAAUGAUGGACUUUCUAUCCAGACAGUUUGGCUUUUGGAGCCCUGAAUGAUGAAGAUAAUCUGGGGCCUGGGAUGCAGGGGGGCUUGGCAUGGUUCCCACACUGUCCAGCCUGGACCAUAGCCUGGAAGGUGUCACCGAUGCCAUUCCACCUUGGAGACAACAGCCACCAGCCUCAACAGAGUCAGAUGGAGGAUGCUUGCGGGGAGAAAGGGAGAUACUCUGUGUGUGGGGGGAAAUAAAGAAAAAAAAGGAAACAAUGGAUCCCAUCCUACUUUGA
rnacentral:lncRNA from 1 species